GCUGGGUGUGGUGUGGCACACCUGUAGUCCUAGGUACUUGGGAGGCUGAGAUGAGAGGAUCCCUUGAACCCAGGAGUUCAAGGCUGCAGUGAGCUGUGUUCACGCCACUGCACUCCAGCCUAGGUAACAGAGAGAGACCCUGUCUCAA
ensembl:misc_RNA Metazoa_SRP Metazoan signal recognition particle RNA